GACGAACGCUGGCGGCGUGCUUAACACAUGCAAGUCGAACGGAAAGGCCCUGCUUUUGUGGGGUGCUCGAGUGGCGAACGGGUGAGUAACACGUGAGUAACCUGCCCUUGACUUUGGGAUAACUUCAGGAAACUGGGGCUAAUACCGGAUAGGAGCUCCUGCUGCAUGGUGGGGGUUGGAAAGUUUCGGCGGUUGGGGAUGGACUCGCGGCUUAUCAGCUUGUUGGUGGGGUAGUGGCUUACCAAGGCUUUGACGGGUAGCCGGCCUGAGAGGGUGACCGGCCACAUUGGGACUGAGAUACGGCCCAGACUCCUACGGGAGGCAGCAGUGGGGAAUAUUGCACAAUGGGCGGAAGCCUGAUGCAGCAACGCCGCGUGCGGGAUGACGGCCUUCGGGUUGUAAACCGCUUUCGCCUGUGACGAAGCGUGAGUGACGGUGAUGGGUAAAGAAGCACCGGCUAACUACGUGC
rnacentral:rRNA from 1 species